CUCUUCUGGAGAUCUACUCUGAUGGAGUUUCACAAGUGAGCCCAGGAUAUGGGUGUAACUUCCCAUUGCUUUCUGAAACACUCAAUUUUCUGGCCUUUUACAUAUGCUGUUCUGGUGAGCCAAGUCUCCGAGUGCUAUAUUCAAGCUGCACAGACAUCUUGCCAUGACACAUGGUGUUCUGGAAUUUGAAGCAAGCCCUGUUUCUGUAUCAGCACAGGAGGACAUCUGAGCUCAUCCACUUGAUGAACUGGGUAGAUUUGGUUGCGGUAUGGCCACAGAGAUAGAGAUCCUUUGGACUGCCUAAGUAUCUGAAUACAGCACCAGCAGAUACAGCAUCUAUAAUGUGAUGCCUUGAUGCCCUGUUACUCACAGCACUGCAGCCAUUUGGAGUUGCUUUCAUAUGUUGGUACAAGCUCAAAUUUGACAGAAACACUGUUAAAGCAGUCGCUUCAAACUAUUGCAAUAACAGUGCAUUUCAUGGAAUCAUAGAAUGGCUUGGAGUGGAAGGGACCUCAAAGAUCACCUAGUUCCAACCCCCUGCCAUGGGCAGGGUUGCCAACUGCUAGAUUAAGCACCAUAUCAGGUUGCAGAGAACUCUAUCCAAUCUAGCUUUGAACACUUCCAGGGAAGAGGGCGUUCAGAACAUCUCUGGGUAGCCUGUUCCUGAAGUUUCCUGAAAAUUUGGCAUACAUAAAUUUCUUCCUGAAGUUUGUGCUAUUUCUGUAGAAGAAAAUUAAGAUAUAAUUCCAAUGAACAUCAACUGUCUGUACUUCAGAGCCUGCAAAGAUUGCCACCCUCAUUGGAUCCACAGUGCGAAAUGAUCUUAGUGACCUCCACCAGGCAUCUCAUGGAGGGGACAUCUUGUGUGCAGUGUCACCUGUCACCUACACUCCUGCUGGAGACUCUUGGUGAAAUCCAACACAUACACCAAUGUUUGUGAGACCAGGGCAUUUCUGUCCUAUUUUAAGUGACUACUGUAAUUUCUAGGAAGCAGAACGGUGAUGUUUUGGUUUAAGUCUACUCAUACAGUAUCUGCUUGGAUUG